UGAUCUCUUGACCUCGUGAUCUGCCCGCCUUGGCCUCCCAAAGUGCUGGGAUUACACACGUGAGCCACCACGCCCAACAAAAGCUCUUAAUGUUUAAAUCAGGAUCAUAGACUCCUGUCCCCCUCUUCUAAGACCUUAGACUAAUAGGCGCAGUAUAACAUAGUGGUUAAGAUGUGUAUCAGUUCUAAAGCCAUGCAGACUAGUUUUGAAUACUGGCCUCCCCUUGAUGACUUUGGGCAGGUUGCUUAACCUUUCUGCACUUCCAGUGCCUUAUCUAUAAAAUGAGGACAAUAUGGAAUACUACUCAGCAAUAAGAAGGAACUGUUGAUACAUGCAAUAACUUGGGUGGAUCUCAAAGUCAUUCUGCUGAGUGAAUGAUUCCAGUUAUAUAGCACUCUGGAAACGGCCAAACUGUGGCAAAAAGGAACAUGCAUGAUUGCCAGGGGUUAGAAGUGUGAAAAGGAGUAACUUAAGCAUAUCCUAAGUGACAGAAAAAAAAAAAAAAAAGAAGUGGGACGCGGGUGUGACUACCAUGGGUUAGUAUGAGGUGAUUUUUGAGAUGAAACUGUUUUGUAUCCUGAUUGUGGUAGUGGUUACAUGAGUCAGUACAUGUGUUAAAACUCAUAGAUAAUACACUCCUCCACGGAAUCCAUUUACUAUCCAUUAAUUUUCUUAAAUAAAUGUAAAAAUGGGGCAGUAACAAAACCUACAGAUACCUGUAUACUACCUACUAUAUAGUACAUAAUGACUAAAUGGUUUUUAUUGUCAUUUUAUCAUUGUUAUUAAAAGUAUAAUAUUAAAUAUGGUGACAUUAAUUGAAAGUAAGAUAGAAUAAACUUUCAUACCAUCUGCAUGGGUAUGGUCAGUAAAUGUGAGAAAAAUGAGUAACUGAGUCAGAUGGAGUAUGUUUUCACAUGAUUUGGCAAGAGAUAUGAGGUUUUCUGGACAGUGGGGAAGGAUUAGGCCUAGUAUUUCUGGAGUAUCUUGCAACUGGCUUCUUGUCUGGCUGCAUAUACAGUUCCCUUGAUAGUAUUCUUCAACAAAAUAGCUUUGGUCUUGGAAGCCGCAGCUCCUUUUAUUGGCUUCAGAUUAGAUCUGAAAUUUGGACUGAACAAACUGGUCAAAGAAGGAGCUGGAAGUAGUUUUCAUACUUGAAAGAUGGUAGCUGUUCCAUAUAACAGCUGUGGCUUCCAGAGCCAUUUCUUCCUGCCAGCCACAGUCUCUGGAUUAGACAGUGAUAGCAGUAAGGCAAGCAUUGUUCCAGAGCUAAAAAAAAAAAAAAAAAAAAAAAA